GUUAGCCUUUAUUUUAUUACCUAGAUUGUCUUGUUAUUUCCUGAGAAUUGUUAAUGGGCUUUGCCAGUGACAAAACCCUUCUCUGCCUCAGGUCCCUGUUGGGUUCAUUUUCUGGGAUUGUUUGAUUCCCCCGUCUGAAAAGAACAUGACUUGAGUUGUUCUGUUCUUUGUCUGCUUCCUCUUGGGCUUUUGAAAAGACUGUGGCCUUUUCUUCACCUGUUAGGAGUACACUGAGGAGACUCUGGAUGUCAGCCCAGAUCAGAAAGGGUAAAUGAGACAUGUACGUGGAUGAGCCCUCUUUCUCCAUCAGGGACCUGCCUCAAAGAAAGUACUUUCCCUGGAUGGGAAAAACAGGAGGAAGAUUUAAGCAAAGAAACUAAAUCUGUCAAUAUAUUCAAGAUCUGGGGGAGAGAGAAAAGAGAAAAAACUCCAGUUUACGAAAGAGAAAAAGCGUCUUUUGAGAAAAGCGGCUGUCACUUAUUACACUGGUCCAAUCAGGACCCUCUUCAGGCAAUUCUAGAACUUAGAUGAUUCUCUCAUCCCUAUUAGACAUAGAAAAGAAAGCAUGUAGCCCAGGAACAGGUUUCCUAAUGGCAGCAUGACUGACAUUUUGCUCUGAAUAAUUGUCGGGCAGACCAGUCUGUUCUGUAUACUCCUGGCCUCUACCUACUAGGCACCAGUAGCAUCAUGCCCCUUCUCCCCAGCUGUAUCAACCAAAAAUGUCUCCUGACAUUGCCAA
ensembl:lncRNA